CGGAGGAUUGAGAAAGUAAGGCAGUUAAAAAGUAUUGCUUUUUAUUGGUUACAGCCUCCAAAAUCAAAAUGUUGCAGAAGCAAAAUGUGUUCCUCUACCUAGUGAGGGAAUAAUAUUGCUGUUUGCACACAUUCU